rnacentral:rRNA from 1 species
UACAGAGGGUGCGAGCGUUGUUCGGAAUUAUUGGGCGUAAAGCGAGUGUAGGCGGGUUCGUGUGUCGGAUGUGAAAGCCCUCGGCUCAACCGAGGAAGUGCGUUCGAAACUGCGGUUCUUGAGUGUCGGAGAGGGUGGCGGAAUUCCCGGUGUAGAGGUGAAAUUCGUAGAUAUCGGGAGGAACACCAGUGGCGAAGGCGGCCACCUGGACGAACACUGACGCUGAGACUCGAAAGCGUGGGGAGCAAACAGA